GACGAACGCUGGCGGCGUGCUUAACACAUGCAAGUCGAACGGACAGGCCCUGCUUUUGUUGGGUGCUCGUGUGGCGAACGGGUGAGUAACACAUGAGUAACCUGCCCUUGUCUUUGGGAUAACUUCAGGAAACUGGGGAUCAUACCGGAUAGGAGCUCCUGCUGCAUGGUGGUGGUUGGAAAGUUUCGGCGGUUGGGGAUGGACUAGCGGCUUAUCAGCUUGUUGGUGGGGUAGUGGCUUACCAAGGCUUUGAAGGGUAGCCGGCCUGAGAGGGUGACCGGCGACAUUGGGACUGAGAGACGGCGCAGACUCCUACGGGAGGCAGCAGUGGGGAAUAUUGCACAGUGGGCGGGAGCCAGAGGCAGCAACGCCGCGUGCGGGAUGACGGCCUUCGAGUUGUAAACCGCUUUCGCCUGUAACGAAGCGUGAGUGACGGUAAUGGGUAAAGAAGCACCGGCUAACUACGUG
rnacentral:rRNA from 1 species